rnacentral:rRNA from 1 species
GACGAACGCUGGCGGCGUGCUUAACACAUGCAAGUCGAACGGAAAGGCCCUGCUUUUGUGGGGUGCUCGAGUGGCGAACGGGUGAGUAACACGUGAGUAACCUGCCCUUGACUUUGGGAUAACUUCAGGAAACUGGGGCUAAUACCGGAUAGGAUCUCCUGCUGCAUGGUGGGGGUUGGAAAGUUUCGGCGGUUGGGGAUGGACUGGCGGCUUAUCAGCUUGUUGGUGGGGUAGUGGCUUACCAAGGCUUUGACGGGUAGCCGGCCUGAGAGGGUGACCGGCCACAUUGGGACUGAGCUACGGCCCAGACUCCUACGGGAGGCAGCGGUGGGGAGUAUUGCACAAUGGGCGGAAGCCUGAUGCAGCAACGCCGCGUGCGGGAUGACGGCCUUCGGGUUGUAAACCGAUUUCGCCUGUGACGAAGCGUGAGUGACGGUAAUGGGUAAAGAAGCACCGGCUAACUACGUG